rnacentral:piRNA from 1 species
AAAGGCGAAUAUUUGGAGGUACAUAAU